rnacentral:rRNA from 1 species
AUAAUGGGUCAGCGACUUAUAUUCUGUAGCAAGGUUAACCGAAUAGGGGAGCCGAAGGGAAACCGAGUCUUAACUGGGCGUUAAGUUGCAGGGUAUAGACCCGAAACCCGGUGAUCUAGCCAUGGGCAGGUUGAAGGUUGGGUAACACUAACUGGAGGACCGAACCGACUAAUGUUGAAAAAUUAGCGGAUGACUUGUGGCUGGGGGUGAAAGGCCAAUCAAACCGGGAGAUAGCUGGUUCUCCCCGAAAGCUAUUUAGGUAGCGCCUCGUGAAUUCAUCUCCGGGGGUAGAGCACUGUUUCGGCAAGGGGGUCAUCCCGACUUACCAACCCGAUGCAAACUGCGAAUACCGGAGAAUGUUAUCACGGGAGACACACGGCGGGUGCUAACGUCCGUCGUGAAGAGG